rfam:Oscillibacter sp. CAG:241 genomic scaffold, scf3
UCAUAAUCCAAGGGGUGCUGGCGCAAGCCGGCUGAGAUGCGACGUAUUGCCGUCCGGUCCCUCAGACCUGAUCCGGGUAAUGCCGGCGUAGGAAUGCGACCAUACCGCUUU